GAGCCUAGCUCAGCUGCUCAGAGCAUGGUGCUGAUAACACCAAAGUUGUGGGUUCAAUCCCUGUCUGGACCA